rnacentral:lncRNA from 1 species
GCUGCACCUGCAGCAUAUGGAGGUUCCCAGGCUAGGGGUCUAAUCAGAGCUGUAGCUGCUGGUCUAUGCCAGAACCGCAGCAACUCAGGAUCCGAGCCGCGUCUGUGACCUACACCACAGUUCAUGGCAAUGCCGGAUCCUUAACCCACUGAGCCAGGCCAGGGAUUGAACCCACAGCCCCAUGGUUCGGCUUCGUUAACCACUGAGCCAUGAGGGGAACUCCUGAAUUUUGAAUUUAUAAAUGUGUCAUAGCAAUUGAAAGGUGGGGGUGAGUUGAAAAAAAAAAACCCCAAACCUUUCCUGAACUGCCUUCAGGCAUUUUAUCCUAGAGGAGCAUUCCAGCCCUUACAAUGCAAUAAAUAGACCUAUUAGGUAGUACACAGUUUCUUUUCCUUUGAAUAAAUACACCUCUGUGUGUUAAGUAUGUUCAUUCUAUAUGUCUUUUUUGUGUGAAUAUGUGUGUGUUGAUUCUGUUUUUGCUUUUUCAGUGAAGGAAAUAAUAAAAAGAUUUAAUAUCCUUGUUAAGCUUUUCUAAGUUGAGAGGAAAGCACGUGUCCCUUUAUAGAAACCCUGGCUUUCUAAUUUACCAACCAUAAUAGAAUCUGUACUCUUGCCAAAAGGCAUUUUAUUAGGUUGUUAAGAUUUUAGAAUUGACAGACCCCCCCAUAUUAAUUAAACAGCAAAUUGCUAGUAAGCAGUCAUGACAUUUAUAAAGGAGGGCACUUACAGAAGGAGAGAAAUCUCUUCUGUCAUAUUUUAGAAUAUCCUAUCAGGUCCUGGGCUAAAAAAAUCUAUUAUCUUAAAUGAAUUUGGGUUUGAUUGUUUUGCUACCAGAGUUUUAACUUUUAUUUAGACUACAUUGGUUUCUCCUUUUCUCCUUUUAGAUGUGCUUUAGAAGAAUUGUUUGUGUUAGUGUCUUGAGUAUAUGUGCAUUUUUAAAUCCUUUAUUGAGAUUAAAAUUACUUUUGUGGAGUGGAUUGCAGAAAAGCUAUACUGCAACAAGUCACUAAUUCGUGUCUCCUGUUUGAGAUUCUGAAGCAGUUAAUAUUCUUGUGGCUAGAUAUGAGGCCAAAUCAUAAACUCUUAUUUAGUAUGGAAGUGGGACCUUUUCUCAGCAAAUUGCAAAAAGAGCAUUUGCACUGUGGCAUUUAAGGAUAUAUCAGAUGAGAUUUUCUAUUGAUCCCAGUGGCAAGGAUGAAUGCCCUGAGAGAAUAAAUGAGCCGCCUUUAUGAGGCUCCCUGUCAUCCAGGAUUUAGCAGUUUCAUUUGCAGAUUCCUGUAAAUGUUCACCAGAUUCAUGACCAGUAAUUUUCACUGGAGAAGGACUGGACCAUGGGUAAGCAAAUGACUCUUUGUCAUUAAUGGUUUCAAAUUGCAUUAAAAAUGUCCUGGCAGCUCAAUUGAUUCUGAUGAAGCUAAAGAGCCCAACUGCAAUGUGUCUCUGGCUAAUAUUUCCAAUUAUCAGGCCAAGGAAUGGGCCAAAGUGAGUAAUAUGUAACAUACAUGAACUCUACUCCUAGGGCCAAAGUGAAUAGUAAGUAACACACAUGUAUCCUACUUCUAGUCACAAACACACAUACACUAAUUCUGAUCACAUAGUUUUUCAAUAUGAAGAUUUAAAUUGAAGUCUAGAGAUGUUCAUAUUGAGUUAGGGUUAGCACAAUAGCACAUUUAUAGCACAAUAAAAAUACAUGUUAACCAGAAACUACUCCCUGUAAUUAAAUUUAUAUAUACUAACCUUCACUUCCUUAUAACUGGAUCAUCUCCUAAGUGAUCAGUAAAUUGUAUGCAAUAACUAAUUCACAUGCCCUAUUAGAAAGGUAACUGCCUGGUGAUUUUAAGUAUGAGUAUACCAGUAUUAGUAUACCAGAAUUAGUUUUGAAUUAACAUUGAAUGCAGCAAUCUUUGAAAAUCCUUGAGACAUGACACAUAAAUGGAUUAAUAUAUCUGUCUGUGGAAUCUGUGUCUACAUAUCCAAGUUUUAGUGUAUGUGUUAGUAUUUAAAUUACCCACCCUUAAUAAAAGAUUUCCAUUUCUAAAAGUCAUAUUCUAAUUAUUAGUCUUAACAUUUCAUUUAGAAGUGUGUUAGAAAAAUUAUCUUGGUUUGUACAGGUUCUAGUAGGGGCUGACUCACAGAGAUGAUUGUAUUACAUACAGUAUAGUAAAGUGUUGAGUAAUCUGUAGUUUCUCAUAAGCACAGAGCAGAACUAAAAAUAGUUUAGCACCACUUUUAUGGUUCUCCUAACUCCUGCUGCCUGUUCAUCCCUGUCUCUACAGGAAAAAAGUGCCCACAGGCUGUUUGCAUGCUUAUUUGAAGUCAUCCCAGAGGCCCUCUCCUGCCUUCCUAGUGCAGUGGUGUAGGUGCAAAUUAAUGAAACCCUUAUUGAGGAUAAUUAAGCAAUAUGAAUUAAAAUUAAAAACACCUAUCCUAUUAAUAAUCCAGCAUUUACUUAUGUAAAUGUAUAUUUCAGAUAGAUAUAUAUUUGUGUGCAAAAGAACAGUCUGUGUAAAUUUAUGCAUUAUGGCAAUAGGUAAGUAUUAACCUAAAUAGGAUCCAGUCAAUAGGAGACUUACUAAAUAAGUUAGGAUGUAUCAAGAAAAAGAAUGAGGAAGGUCUUUAUACAUUGAUAGAGCAAGGCUUCCAAUUUUUUUUUUUUUUUUUUUUCAGGGCUGCACCCCCAGAUAUGGAAGUUCCCAGGCCAGGGGAAGAAUUGGAGCCUUAGCCUCUGGCCUACACCACAGCCAUAGCACAGCCAGAUUUGAGCCGUGUCUGUGACCCACAGACCACACCACAGCUGAAAGCAACACCAGAUCUUUAACCCACUGAAUGAGGCCAGGGAUCAAACCCGAAUCUUCAUGGAUACUAGUCAGGUUCUUAACCAGCUGAGCCACAGCGGGAACUCACCAAGAUAUUUUUUUUAAGGAGGAAAAAGAAUAAAUGCACAUCUUUUAAUAUUUUCAUCCCAACCUGAUGUAUCAAGUUUGAAUGUUCAGAUUAUAUUUAUCCUCCUCCUCACUUGAGUGUUGUUGAUUUUGGCUAGCUAUUAGAAAAACAACCUAAAUUUAUUUUAACAUGUGGUUGACCAAUAGUUUCAUGCUUCUCAGGGAUGUUUCUGAUUUAGAAGAAGAGAGUUUUUAAAUCACAUGGAAUCCUCAUUGGUGAAGUUUCAAGCAGUUCGAAAAGGAUUUUGCAGGCAGUAUGUAUGUGAUCAUUUGAUUAAAGUGUGCCCAGGAAGCCAAAGACAAUUAAAGGUUUUUUAAUUCAUAUCCCUGACAAAAAAGAGAAAGUGGCCAUACCAGUCACAACAAGCUUCUUCCUGGAGUUUGACACCCAGAGGGCUUCCUGGAAUCUGCCUGUUGGAAAACUAAGAGAGGACAAGUUCAAGUACAGAAAGGAACAGAACUGCUGAGCUUUAAACCAGAGUAGUUUAAAUUGUGGUUAUGACACAUCUGUUAAAAAGACACAACAGAUGACAUUUGCUUUAUGCAGGGAUGUUUGCUAAAAGUAAAGACUCCAGAGACCCCUCCUUCCCCCAAAUCUACUAAAUCAUACUCUGUAGACAUGGACCAUAUUUGAGCACUGCAGCUUCAUUGACUUAAUCUCCCAGCCUUCCUCCUCCCAGUAACUGGUAAGAAGGGAAUCUCAAACCAGAAGUGUAUUUUCUUGGAACACCCAAGCCCCAAGCAAUCUUUGAGCAGUCAAGCCCAGUGUUCUCCUUUUAAAAGAUCUUUGAAAAGGGCUUUAAAGCCUCAUCCUGCCUGGACCUUAUCCCAGAAAUGCUUUCCUAAUCCAUUUCCUAGGGGCUCUUCCUCACUCCUGGCGCAGCCCCACACUUGUUUUAUGCUGAGCAUUAGCCUCUGCUCUGGGACCCUGCGCUAGUGAAGUAUAUUCCUCUCUCACUGUAACUAAUGCCUCUUGGUUUUUUGGGGAUAAGUCAGUAUAGUGGAUUCUCAGAGCUCUAUUCAUUCGUUUUUGUAAAAAAAAAUAAUAAUCGUAAAAUUUAUGGAGCACACCUUUUGAGCCCAACACCUUUCUAGGUACUGGUAAUUCAGAAGAGAAUAAAAGAGGGCAAAAUGGAGCUUUCUUUCUACAAGUGGAUCUAGGCAAAUAAGAUAUAUCUUUCAGGUUGUGAAAUUGAGCAUCGAAGAGAAAAAGCAUGAAAAGGAAAAAUGUAUGUUGAGGGGGUUGGGGAGAGAGCAGCUGAGAGGUUGCAAUUUUAGAUAAAGUGGGCUGGGAAGGUCUCCCUGAGAAGGUGAGUUUUGAGUGAAGCUCUAAGGGAUAUGAAAAACAAAUAUAAACAAACAAAGGAAAACAAACGAGCUCCGUGGGAAUGGGGGUGGUGGACAGUGUUCUAGGAAGAGGGUCCCAAGUUAGAAAGUUCCGGAAGGUUACUGUGAUUGGAGUGAACUGAGUGAGGAUAAGGGAGAGUGAGUGGGUGCUUUGAGGUGAGAGUGGUGAGCAGACGCCAGGUCAUGGAGUCCCUUGGACACCUUGGCUUUUAUAUUAAGUGAGCCCCUGGAGAAGUUUGGAAGAAAGAAGAGCCAUGGUCUGCUUAUAUUUUUAAAAAGAUUCCUCUUGGCACUAAGUUAAGAAGUUUACAAAUCGGAACUAAAAUGGGGGAGAUAAGUUACCAUGAGCAGGUGAGAGCUAACCAGGUAGAGGCAGUGGAGGUGCUGUCAAGUGAGUCUGGUACAUUUUGAAAUUAAAACCAUCAGGAUUAGAUCUCCUUAUGUGAGGUUAUAAGACAAGGGCAAGAGCCAAGGAAGAACCAACUAUUAUCAGCUUAACUAGAAGAAGGGAAUUGGCAUUUAAUGAGAUGGAAAUACUGUGAAAGGUGAAGGCUUUAUGAGCAAGUCAAAUUUGAUGUGUCUAUUUGACAUCUUAAAAUUGAGAUGUCAAGUAGGGACUUGGAAGAAUGAGUCCAAGGGCGAGGUCUGCCUUGGGCAUGGAAAUUUGGAUUCUAGAAUACAUGUUAUCAGUUGAAGUCAUGAGAUUUGAUAGGACUACACAUGGACUCUGUGGAUGUGGAAGAAAUCCCAAGACUAGGCUUUGAGUCACUUUAUUUUUUAUUUUUUUAAUGUAGCCUAUUAUUUUAUUGGUUUUAUUUUAUUUUAUUUUUUUGGCCAUAGCAUUCAACAGCUUAAUGUGGGAUUUCAGAUCUCAGACCAGGGCUUGAACCCAGACCUGACAGUGAAAGCACCGGAUCCUAAUCACUAGACCACCAGGGAACUCCCUGAGUCACUUUCUUUUUAAAAGUUGAGAAGAUGAGGGACCUUACAAAGGAGACAAAAAACAAA